UGGAAUAAUACAAGGUGUUGGAUAUUGACAGCGUUCUCGCUCUAAUCCGCCAUCUUGGCUCCCUUAGCUAUAUCAGUGUUUCCCUCUUGAAAAAACUACAUUUUAUCGCCUUUAAAAAAAGUACUAAACUACCUCAUUCCCUAUUCCAAAACCGAUUUGCAAUCACUGAACAAUUCUUUGACAUUUACUCUAUUCUUAUCGUUGGCAACUGAAAAUUAAAUUAGAAAUUUCAACAUUAAUUCGGCAAAAAAACAUCGGUUUAGAGUUCUCCCCAAGGAUUUGUAGUUAUUUUGGUCGGUGCUUCCUUCCGCUGCAAUUCCGUCUGUGGUUCACUGCCACUGGCCUUGCUUUUUCAACGAUAUAACUGUUUUCUUGUGAUUUUUGCUGCUGCAAUCCCGUCUGUGGUUCACUGCCUCUGGCCCUGCUUUUCCAACGAUAUAACUGUUUUUUUGGUAACUUCUACCGCUAAGACUUUGUUGCUUUUUCCCCUUUCCCUAAAAACAUAAUAGUGCUACAAAGCUCAAUAACAAUAUGGAAACAAAUGUUAAUAAGCCACAAUAAUAUUGACAAUAAAUAAGAUUUCACUACGA